AUUGAACGCUGGCGGCAGGCCUAACACAUGCAAGUCGAGCGAGCGGCGGACGGGUGAGUAAUGUAUGGGGACUGCCCGAUAGAGGGGGCUAACUACUGGAAAAGGUGGCUAAUACCGCAUACUAUCGGAUAACCCAUAUGGGAUUAGCUAGUAGGUGGGGUAAAGGCUCACCUAGGCGACGAUCUCUCGCUGGUCUGAGAGGAGGAUCGUCCACACUGGGACUGAGACACGGCCCAGACUCCUACGGAGGCAGCUGUGGGGAAUAUUGCACAAUGGGAUCAAGCCGGAUGCAUCCAUUCCGCGUGUAUGAAGAAGGCCUUAGGGUUGUAAAGUACUUUCAGCGGGGAGGCGUUACCCGCAGAAGAAGCACCGGCUAACUCCGUGCCAGCAGCCGCGGUAAUAC
rnacentral:rRNA from 1 species